CGCGUGGAGCCGACCACCCUCCCGGGACGCCCGGUUGGGCACAGCGGCUCUCAGCACCGCUGUGCCGCUGCUUGGCCUUGCUGCGGGGGGUAAGCGCUGAGCUCUGGCAGGAGCGGUGCGCGACACCGUGCCUCAGGAAGAGGACUCUGCUGAGCGUGGCCUGCAGCCUGAAUUUACCAGCAAUCUGCAACAGAGGGUCUGCAACGAAAGGCCUAAAGCCUCUUCCACGUGUCUAGGUUACUGGCUUGUAGCAGACCUCGGGCAGAACCUGAGGGUCUGAGAGCACAGUGUCCUUAAGCAGAGUGCAGGCCGCAAGCAGCGGGCGCAGGGAUUACAGAAGCACGGAGUUGCACAGAGUGGUUGAUGUGGGAAAGGACCUCUGGAGAUCAUCUAGUCCACCCCCCCUGCUCAAGCAGGGUCACCUAGAACACGGUGCACAGGAUUAUAUUCAGGUGGGUUUUGAAUAUCUCUAGAGAAGAAGAUUCCACAACUUCUCUGGGCAACGUAUAAUACUGGUGACUUGCCUAAAAUGCCAGUUUACUGAAGUUUAUCAAGCUACUUGAGAUUCUUGUAUGAAGAGCGGAGGUGCUAGAAGUGCUUCUUGUGCUGCUUGCUUUUCUUUCUAGAAAUGCAUGUGCUUCUUCACUAGAAAAUGAAUGACUGGGCCCCCAUAGCCAAAGAGUAUGACCCCCUCAAAGCCGGGAGCAUUGAUGGCACGGAUGAAGAGCCCCACGACCGUGCCAUAUGGAGGGCUAUGCUGGCACGGUAUGUACCCAACAAGGGAGUUACAGGAGAUCCUCACCUCACCCUGUUUGUAGCAAGGCUGAAUCUUCAAACAACAGAAGAGAAGCUGAAGGAAGUUUUUUCCCGAUACGGAGAUAUAAGAAAGAUCCGGCUGGUUAGAGACUUGGUUACAGGAUUUUCCAAGGGUUAUGCGUUUAUUGAGUACAAAGAGGAGCGUGCUCUGUUGAAGGCCCACAGGGAUGCCAACAGGCUGGUUAUUGACCAACAUGAAAUCUUUGUGGACUUUGAAUUGGAAAGAACUCUCAAAGGGUGGAUUCCUCGGAGGCUUGGAGGUGGUUUUGGAGGCAAAAAAGAAUCUGGCCAGCUACGAUUUGGAGGACGGGACAGACCUUUCCGAAAGCCCAUCAAUUUGCCAACCAUGAAAAAUGAUUUCUAUGGAGAAGGAUCAGGAGAGAAAAGAAACUGGUCUCGUGAAGGAACAAGGGACUGGAGAACAAGGGAUCGAGACCAUGAAAGGAGCAGAGACAAGAGAUGGCCAGAAAGGGAGCGGUCAUGGGCUUGGGGUGAAAGUGAGAGAGAGAGGGACUCCAAAGAGGACAGGAGCAGAGGGAGAGAGAGGAAGGACAGAGACAGGAAAGACAGAGAUAGAGACCGGAGCAGGGAAAGAGAUACCAAGAAACAAAGAGAUGAUGAUAAACAUCGAUAGGUGAAGGUGCCUUCUCUGUAAUUAUGGGAAAUUUGGGUAUGGUGUCUACUGCCAUCUUUCUCUCAAAUAGCAUGAACCAAGUCUUGCUGCUCCAACAACUGGCACAUUUUGGUCCAGGUUGGGACUGACUGCUGCUGUCACAGUAAAUUAACUGGUAUGGAGGGGGUGGGAUACAGCAGGCUUCCAGCCUCAGUCUUUGGAUAAAGCUGGCAUACAUCCUUCUGGAGAUCAUGGAUAGGAUUAAGUUGUAGAGGUUGUCUUCACCUUUGGGCCGUGACUUGCAUUCACUGAGAAGCAGCUGCAAUGUUACUGUCCUGUGCCUGUGACUAUAAUCUGCUAUAAGCUUUGUAGUUUUGUUUCUAAUACAGUUAAGAUACUUGGUUUUGAGUUUUUCUUCAGAGAAAUUAAACAUUUCUGUUAAUAUUCUGAACCAGCGAAUGCUAUAAGAAGUGCACAGCGUGUACUGGCACUCAGUGAAAUUGAGUACACACCUCAUUUGAUACCCGACUGGCUGCUGGGAGUAGGGUUCAUGAGUGCGCUCCGUCCUUAAUUGUGCGCCAGAUGUCCACACUCAUUUUGCAGAACAAAUGACCUCUAUGAAGUCACUUGUUGAAGAAAUAGCAAGGAAAUAGCAAGGAUAGGAACAAACUAAGCUUCUUAUAAAUGUGGCCCCUAACAAAAGAUGAUGGGAAGUGACUUACUUUUCUGAAGACAGUGGAACAGAAAGAUCAUUUGGGCCUAGAGAGAAGAUAGGAGUGUCAUGCUGCUGCUCUCUGUUGUUUAAGGAUUUGUUUGUGUGGUGAAAGCCUACCGGAAGAUGACGAUGUCUUUUCCGCUGUAGGGACUGAGCUGUGUAAUUCAAGCUCUUCUUAAAUGGGUAGAAACCACAAGAGAAGUGAUUCAUAUAUUUUCUUUUAGACACAACUUUUUUUUUUUCUUUUUAUAUGCUUCUAUCCUAAACAUUGCCAAGUUUGAAGCCCUAUUUCCAUGAAGAGCUGUGUGAGCUUUUUUCAGUGGAGAAGACAGACCCCUAAACUGCGUUCCCAACAGUAGACAGCAAUAGGAGGACACAAAGAACACAAAUCUUCAGAAAUACUUGUAUUUCAGAAAUAUUUAUUAAACUAUUAAAAUGAUUUACUACCCCCUCCAAAAAACAAAAACAAAACAAACCCAAAAAGACUUAAGUGAACCUGCACUCUGUAUGCAGGAUUGCUAUGCCCUUUACCUGACAACAUCCUGGCCCCUUUUUUUAAAAAAAAACAGGUUUUACUUGAAUACUGAGAAACUACAUGACAGAUCUUCAACUCUUUACAUAUUCUUCCCUACAUGGCAUCCUUUUUGAUUGCCACUUGGAGUGUAUGAACUCAGCAUUUCUAACAAAAAAAUGAAGGAUGGUUAUGUUAGUAGGUCAGGAGUAACUCUUCAUAUUUUUGAGGUAAUGGGGUACAGAUAGGAAUGGGGGAAGGUUGUACUGCUUAGUGCCAGUAGAACUUGCAGAACUUGGCUGCAAAUUUGACCUAACGAUAGUGCAUUGGAUCCUAGCCUGUGGGACUAGCUUUACAUGCACUAACUAGGUCUGGAGACUUCCUUUUUAAUACAUGAGCUUAUAUGCUAGGGGAGAAAAUGUUCAGUCUGUGUAUUUCUAUUAUUUCAGUCCAUGGCUCUUAGCUGAUGUGAAAAGUGAUGUGCUUAUUCAGGCUGUGAAUGUGCUGCGUUCUUGCAUUGUUUCCUAUUGCUAUAUCUCUUGUAAAUGUGCCCAACGACUGUAAACUAUGCUAGGGAGACACUCAACAGGCUGCAUUCAUGUGGUGUGAUUCUUCCAUCAAAUUCUGUAUAAAAUCAUGAUUUUUUUUUUAACAGCAACAAUGAUCCAUUUCUGUUUCUAGCUCCCACUCAAACAUUAUGUCUGUACAAGAACACAUCAAGAGAUGUUCAGUGGCUUUGAGGAGGUACGUUAAACUUUGCUCAUGGCUAAAGAACAAAAGUGUUAGACUAAUACGUACUCAAGAACUGCAGAACAGUUGUAACUUAUUUUAUCUGCCUGAUACAAAUGUAGUGUACUUGUUUCCUUUUUUUCCCUUUUCCCCAAUCUGUAAAAGAAACUGGGAUCUUAGCAACUUACAUAUCAUUAAAUUAAGACUCCUCCUAUUUAAGAAUUGCUUUUCACAUAAAAGGAGGAAUGCUGCCAUUUUAUGAAUACAGCUCUCUGUAAGCGUUAACAAAAUUUAACUGGCUUAGAGAUGCAAAAGUGUCCCUACUAGUGUCAUACAUUAGUGUCGGACAUUAUUGUCAGUAUUUCACAUGUAGAUGCCUUUCAUAUAAGGCCAUCCCCUCCCUCCUUUCCCCUUCUCCCAAAAUGCAGUGACAACUUGAAGGGCCGGUGAAUGCUUUUUUUAAUAUUGGAGUUGUAUGUAAGUAAGUUCUGCAGCAGCAGUUUCUCAUGAAAGUGCUAAGGUAUAUUCCCAACCAUGCUUUGAACUGCUGCGAAUGGUCUGCUGACUGGAGACUAAAUGAAACUGAUAUUUAAAAAGACUGUAGCCUGUUGGGGAGAGGGAGAAAAUACUUGAGAAGUACCUGGAGCAUGCUGAAGUUCAAGGUUCAAAAUAUAGUACAGUUACAGGAUGGAAUAGAGCAGCCUUUGGCCCACCAUUGCAAAAAUGGUUUCUUAGCACAGUUUCACUAUGGACAGAUUAAAAUUGUUCCCUGCCCAUACAUGUUAGAUAACCCAUAAUGGGACAUAGAAACUGAAAAUUAAAAACAGAAAAUAAACACCUUGUAUUAAACCCUUUGACUUGCUGUCAUCUAGGAGUCUUUACAGCCAUCCUCAGGCAUUUAGCACCCAGAGUAGUUGGAGCUUUUGUUUGAGCACUGGCUCCUGUUUAGUGCCGCUCCUGAGAGCAGCCUCUUUUCAGAGCAGAUCUGGCUGCUGGGGAUUAAGAUGCCAACAGCAGCCCAUAGCUGUCUGAACUAAGCUACAUUAGCAGAAGUUGCCUAGGACCUUGUCGUAACUAGAGAUACUGCUCACAAGCAGCGCUGUGCUCCAGUGCAGGUCUCAAGCGUACAGCCACGUCCAUAGAAAGACCUCGGUGCCUCCUUUGUGAAGAAGUGGGUGUACUUGCUCUCUCCUGCCUGAGCAGAGCUUGCUUAGUGUGCUUUUGAGGAGUGCAGGGUGCAUCUAUGUUGCAUGGGGCUUUGUUGUUACAUUUUUUAUAAGAAUGACAUCAACCAGUCCCAAUGGUUUCACAAACUUAAUUGGAAAGCAGGUCUAAAACUCACCUUCUGACAGCUGGUUGUGUUCAUGUGCUGGCACUGUUGGCCCAUUAAGCCCGCCCAUAACUGCAGGCUACCUAAACCUCAGCUGACACCAGUAAAGCAGCUUGCACGUGUAGAAUUCAUCCAUUCUACAACCCCAAAUAGUGUUUAGACUAGUGAAAGGAAAAGUUUGGGCUGGGGCCAUCCCUAAGUCAGUUAAAACAGUUCAUGUCAGCUAGCUGAGGAGGUCGUCUCACCCUGAAAUUAGGCAGUCUUCAUCUAGAAAGGAAAAUGGAGUGUGACAUUAUUCAAAACCUGUCUAUGGGAAGGGGAGCUAAUUCCUUUAGCGCAGCUGUUUGCUGCUCUAGGGGGAAGACCUUCGUAAGAAGGAAAAAAAUUGAGUGUUAGAAAUCCUCUUUGCGAACAAUUAAUUUUCCAUUAGUACUGUAGAACUCAUGGCAAAAUGCAAGGCACGCUCACCUCAUACAUCGGUUUCUUCAUGCUUUAGGCACUAUAUGCAGCAAGAGAAAUGUAUUCACUAUCCCUCUCAAGGCUAUUCCAGCUUCUCAGUUUGUAUCAGGUGGAUUUCCAAGUGCAAGACUGCAAGAUGCAGAUGCUAGCUGAACUUGGCAAGAUAUAGCAGUGCUAGACCUGCCAUGGAGCCGUGGUAUCUCUCUCGAAAAAAAAUCUUACAGAAUUAAGAAAAAGCAAACAAUCAAAAGUUUUAACAAACAGCAUAAGAGAGUCUUUUCCAAUAGAUAUUGUACACUGCAAACAAUCUUCUAAUAAUAGCACAGGUCUUUUUUUUUUUUGGUUUAAAGAAGCUUGUGUUACUGUAGUUAAUGCAUGAGCAAGACCAUAGACUUGUUGUUCAGCACAAAACAAGUCAUCUAGAAGCUUCAAUAUCCCAAGGUAUCAGUGACUGUUAUUACAAAGCUUGGAUUCUGUUUUUGGCAAACAGUCACCAAAUAAACAGUGAGGGAUCCCUUUUGAAGAGUACAUCUGAAACACAACCACUGAGGUGUGCAAGGCAAAUAAAAGUGAUGAACUGCCAGA